ensembl:lincRNA linc-107 ncRNA
CUGUUUUGUGACUUCUUUUUAAAAGUUUAUUUGCUAGUUUUUAUCUUUUUUUUCAAAAUUUUUUGAGUUCAAAUAACGUGGUGAUGGUCAAGUCAGAACCCCAUUUAAAAACCAAGUAGAUUUCUAUUUCCAACUAAUUGUUUUCCUUGUUGUAAUUUUUAAGAUCGAUUCUAAUGUUUUAAAAUAUAUCAAUGAUUAGUUGUAUUUCUCGGCUUCUCUUAUUCUUUUUCAAUAUUUUUCUUCAUUGUUUUAUUGUCCUGUCUUAUUAAAAUGUCGUCACUUCUAAAUAUAGACAGUUCAUAAAUCAAUCAUUUUUCCUCGUAUUUUCUUUCUACCACUCAUUCCCUCUCUUUGCAAACUGUCCAUCAAAUUCAUUGAUAAAAUAUUUCUGCAAAUG